rnacentral:rRNA from 1 species
UACAGAGGGUGCGAGCGUUGUCCGGAAUCACUGGGCGUAAAGGGCGCGUAGGUGGUGGCUUAAGCGUGCGGUGAAAGCUCGGGAGCUCAACUCCGAGUCGGCCGUGCGAACUGGGCUCACUGGAGCAUAGUAGAGGCAGGUGGAAUUCCGGGUGUAGCGGUGGAAUGCGUAGAGAUCCGGAAGAACACCGGUGGCGAAGGCGGCCUGCUGGGCUAUGGCUGACACUGAGGCGCGACAGCGUGGGGAGCAAACAGG